GGAGUGGACUCCUACAGGAGGCAGCAGUAGGGAAUCUUCGGCAAUGGACGGAAGUCUGACCGAGCAACGCCGCGUGGGUGAAGAAGGUUUUCGGAUCGUAAAGCUCUGUUGUAAGAGAAGAACGAGUGUGAGAGUGGAAAGUUCACACUGUGACGGUAUCUUACCAGAAAGGGACGGCUAACUACGUGCCAGCAGCCGCGGUAAUACGUAGGUCCCGAGCGUUGUCCGGAUUUAUUGGGCGUAAAGCGAGAGCAGGCGGUUAGCUAAGUCUGAAGUUAAAGGCUGUGGCUUAACCAUAGUAUGCUUUUGAAACUGUUUAACUUGAGUGCAGAAGGGGAGAGUGGAAUUCCAUGUGUAGCGGUGAAAUGCGUAGAUAUAUGGAGGAACACCGGUGGCGAAAGCGGCUCUCUGGUCUGUAACUGACGCUGAGGCUCGAAAGCGUGGGGAGCAAACAGGAUUAGAAACCCCUGUAGUCCUAG
rnacentral:rRNA from 1 species